rnacentral:rRNA from 1 species
AUUGAACGCUGGCGGCAUGCCUUACACAUGCAAGUCGAACGGCAGCACGGGAGCAAUCCUGGUGGCGAGUGGCGAACGGGUGAGUAAUGUAUCGGAACGUACCUUUCAGUGGGGGAUAACGUAGCGAAAGUUACGCUAAUACCGCAUAUUCUGUGAGCAGGAAAGCAGGGGAGUCGCAAGACCUUGCGCUGAUUGAGCGGCCGAUAUCAGAUUAGCUAGUUGGUGAGGUAAAGGCUCACCAAGGCGACGAUCUGUAGCGGGUCUGAGAGGAUGAUCCGCCACACUGGAACUGAGACACGGUCCAGACUCCUACGGGAGGCAGCAGUGGGGAAUUUUGGACAAUGGGCGCAAGCCUGAUCCAGCCAUGCCGCGUGAGUGAAGAAGGCCUCGGUUGUAA